GAAAAAUAUCCUUCCGCGUAGGGCUGGGCCCUACACUGGAAAGGGGGGGGACGGGUGAGGGGGGCAACACAGAAGGUAGA
rnacentral:SRP_RNA from 1 species